rnacentral:misc_RNA from 1 species
GCUUUUGCUAGGAAUAUGAUGCUUAGGUAUGUGAUUCUCAAUCAUGAGUCAUUAUUGUGUUUGACUAACCAUAAAAGAUUACCAAGAAUUCAUGAUUAUUAUGCUAAUGCAUCCUUUGAAUCAAGCAGAUAUUAUUGAGAGUUGGGUUAUUAUUAAUCCUUCAAAACAACACUUCUUGAUUGCUAAUUGCUUAUCAAUUUUUUGUUUUUUUUAUUCCCUUUUUUAAUGGAAUUUUCUUUAUAGGCAAAAUAUGUUUUACCAAUAAAAUGAAAUAUAGUACAAUCAUUGACUAAUAAGAGAGAAGGAGAUGGAAGAGAAUGAAUGCUGCAGGUUGAGAUUAUGCAUACAUUGAAAGUUUCAUAUUCUCCUAGCAAUUAAAACAUCUUUGACGCGAUGCCUGUAGCAUGUUUCUAAAAGAAGUAUCAUGAAACAAGAGUGGUAUCUUU